UUAUUGUUACGCUUCGAAAUGUUCUAUAUGUCAUUGAUAUGCUUUGGAACAUUUCAUACGCUAUUGAUAUGCUUCAAUUACUCUGUGCUCCAUUUGCUAUGAACUGAUAUGUUCUGAAAUGUCCUAUUUGCCAUUGAUAUGCUCCGGAACAUCUCGCACGCUAUUGAUAUGCUCCAAUUACUCUAUGCUCCAUUUGUUAUGAAUCAAAUAUAUUUUGAAUGACAUGACACAUAUGAUUUUGUAUCUAAUGAGAUGGUAUCCUUGAGAAA
rnacentral:lncRNA from 1 species